rnacentral:rRNA from 1 species
AAGCCCGAUGAACCUGAAUAUCCAUUAUGGAAAAUUCAACAUUAAUAUUAUAAUAAUUAUUUAUAAAUAUUAUAAAAAUAGUGUGCAAUUUUUCCAUAUAAGGACAUUGUAAUCUGUUAAUGUAAUAAAUAUUUAUCAUAAGAUUCAAUAUAUAAAAGUUUAUUUAAAUUAGUUAUUUUUUUUAAAUUUCUAACAUAGAAUAAAUUUAAUUGAAUUUGAUAAAUCAUUGACAGAUUUAUUUAUAUAUAGUGCAUAAAUUCUUAAUUGAAUUUUACAAUAAUAUUUAAAUGUAUUUUCAUUUAUUUAUUUAUUGUAUGCAUUUAUAUGAUUAACAAUGCAUAUAGAUUCAGGAUACCUUCGGGACCCG